rnacentral:rRNA from 1 species
CUAAGUUUGAUGGCGACCGGCGCACGGGUGAGUAACACGUAUCCAACCUGCCGAUGACUCGGGGAUAGCCUUUCGAAAGAAAGAUUAAUACCCGAUGGCAUAGUUCUUCCGCAUGGUAGAACUAUUAAAGAUUUCGGUCAUCGAUGGGGAUGCGUUCCAUUAGGUUGUUGGCGGGUAACGGCCCACCAAGCCUUCGAUGGAUAGGGGUUCUGAGAGGAAGGUCCCCCACAUUGGAACUGAGACACGGUCCAAACUCCUACGGGAGGCAGCAUG